AUUGAACGCUGGCGGCAUGCCUUACACAUGCAAGUCGAACGGCAGCACGGGUGCUUGCACCUGGUGGCGAGUGGCGAACGGGUGAGUAAUACAUCGGAACGUACCUUAUCGUGGGGGAUAACGCAGCGAAAGCUGUGCUAAUACCGCAUACGCCCUGAGGGGGAACGCGGGCGAUCGAAAGACCUCGCGCGAUUAGAGCGGCCGAUGCCUGAUUAGCUUGUUGGGGGGGUAAAAGCCCACCAAGGCGACGAUGAGUAGCUGGUCUGAGAGGACGAUCAGCCACACUGGGACUGAGACACGGCCCAGACUCCUACGGGAGGCAGCAGUGGGGGAUUUUGGACAAUGGGGGCAACCCUGAUCCAGCAAUGCCGCGUGAGUGAAGAAGGCCUUCGGGUUGUAAAGCUCUUUUGUCAGGGAAGAAACACCGGCUCUAACACAGUCCGGGAAUGACGGUACCUGAAGAAUAAGCACCGGCUAACUACGUGCCAGCCGCCGCCGUAA
rnacentral:rRNA from 1 species